GUUUGAAGCAGGACAGUGAAGGAUGCGUGAGAGCUGACAAGAAGAGCGGCAAGUAAAGGCGCUUCCACAAGACCUGACUUUAGUGCGUGGUAGGAGAGUGUUGUAAUAUCAAGAAAUAGGAGAAAAUUCAACCAUGGCCCCAAGGAAGAGAGGCGGAAGGGGGAUUUCAUUUAUCUUUUGCUGUUUCCGAAACAAUGACCACCCAGAAAUCACAUAUCGGCUUAGGAAUGAUAGCAACUUUGCACUUCAGACAAUGGAGCCAGCACUGCCCAUGCCCCCUGUGGAGGAGCUGGAUGUCAUGUUCAGUGAACUUGUGGAUGAACUCGACCUCACAGACAAACAUAGGGAGGCCAUGUUUGCACUUCCAGCAGAGAAAAAGUGGCAGAUAUACUGUAGCAAGAAAAAGGUAAGAUACUCACCAAUCAUAAUUAACCAGAAGAAUGUCACCCCUG
rnacentral:lncRNA from 1 species